AUGUUCAUUAGUAUUGGGUUAUGCAUCCUAUUGGGAGUACUACCUAUCUCCUCGAAUGAAGAGUUAUUCUCUCACACUACUCUGAGAAAAGUUCCUGCUAUUAUUGGAGCACCACUUGAAAUCAGAUGCUCAAAGAUUAUACAAGAAUAUAAUUCUAAUUUACGGAUUUACUGCAACAACGAAAAUGGUUAUACAGUUGAAGAAAACGAACACUCUUGUAACUACACAUGGGAAAGGAAGGGAGAAGCUAUAUCAACUGAAGAUGCCAAUUAUGAAAUUUACAGUUUCCUGACCUAUGACUACUGUGAGAUCUUACAAGGAGGAUCAGACAUCAUUAAAGCAAUGGACAUCACUACUGAAAGUCUUGAAGAGUAUUAUAGAUUUACUCUAAACAGAAGAAGAACCAAAUGCUUCACAUCGGUUCUUUCAAUACGCAAUGUCACAGAGGAUGAUUUUGGUGAUUACAAAUGCAUCUGGGGCUCUCGUUCGAGAUGGGAUGGACCUCAAUCUUUAAAUAUCACUGUUCUUGAUUCGGCAUCUGAUGAGAAAUUACCCACAAACAUCACAUACUUUAAAAGAAACUUCAAUAUUGGUCUGAAGUCAAAAGUUCUGAUGCAGUGUGUUGUUGAAAAUGGCCCCGUUUUUUGGUUUUUCAGUACCACAAAUAAAACAAAAUCCGAAACUAUUCAACCCAUAGAAACUACAACUGAAAGCGAUGCUUGGAAUUGCUUCAGCUACAGUGAGAAGAGUCACAAAGUCUCAAAUAUAACUGAGUCAUUUAUAUUUUUCGAGAAUGUCUGUAUUUUUGAUCAAGGAUACGAUAUAUACUGCAGUGCUGAUUCUGAAGGAAAGUUACUAUCCAGAGGAGAACACCUACGUGAUUCUUAUUCUGAAAUGCCUUAUUAUGAGAUCUAUGGAUAUUCACGUUGGCAAUUUGAAAAUGAAAUGCAUUAUCAUAUGGGUAUUGUUAUUCCUACUGUAACGAUUCUUUUCUUCUCUGUUGCGUCUGUGCUUGCAUGCUGUCGGGGUGGACUCUGUGUUGAUUGGUGUUGUGAGGGAAUGUGCUCUUGUCUUACAAACCCUGGAGACACCCGAACUCCUACCAUUACAGUAAACAACCCUGUGUGCCCUGUGCCCAACACUGCCCCGGUAGUUUCUGCUGCUAGUCCCCCGCCAGGAUAUAAUGUUCUUCCAAACCAAACUUAUGCUUGAGCUUACUAUAAUAUUUGUCGCUAACACUUAAGCCGUAGUACAUGCAUAAUAUGAUUAUUACAUUACACUGGAGCUUAUACAGUGUAAUUUCCUCCAGUCUGCGCCGCGCGGCUAUAUAAACGUACGCGGCACAGACUGGAGGAAAUUACACUGUGUAAGCUCCAGUGUAAUGUAAUAUGUAUGUACUACGGCCUAAGGGGAUUUCAAUGGUUAUUGCCUCCUUUCUUAGUUUAUAACCUCUGUCAAGUUUUGAGUUGAAUAAUUAUAAUCACAGUAUACUCUUAUCUGUGGCAUUUGUAUCUGGUACAUAAACUUUCUAUAAAUAUUGAUAAAUAUUUAAUUAAAUUAUUAUUGUAGUGGUCACUGGUCAUUAGACUAUUAAAUGUCGACAGCAGAAUGAAAGAUUGUGGUAUUAUUGCCAUCACUGCAACAAUUAUAGCAUGUAUUUAAACCUGUUGAUUUGUAGUUUAGUUUUACAAAGUUUUAUCUUAACUGUUUGUUAUUUUUAUGUUCUCCCUAAAUACACUCUAUUAAUGUUGGAAGAGAUCGAAUCUCUCUAUGCACUACUAUCUAUAAAGUUUAAAAUAAGCGGUAUGGUAGAGCAAGUUAGGCCUGCUAAGGUGGCAAAUAUAGGUAAUGUUAUUAUUAUAUAUAAUAUAUUCAACUGGUACCGCAUGAAUUUCUAUUAUGCGAAGAUUUGUAAAGAAAAAUUGCUUAUUUAUUAUAAUUUUAUGCAUGGGCUAGUGACUUUCUUUUACUAGUGCAGUGAGUCUUCACGACACCCAAUUUAUAAGUCUUUUUUAUUACCUUUUACUUACUUUUACUUUUUUAUGAAAAUUAUUUGUAUGCUAAUUAUAUUAGUUUUUUCCCUCUCAAUCUGA